UCCUGGGGCUUCGCAUCACUUUUACGUCAAAAUGAAGAGCAGUGAGAACAGGUUCCAUCACUAUUUUCCUCUCCAAGGCACUCCAGUUGCAAGAACUUUCUGGAAUUUAUGUCAGGGCACAGAUUCCCAGAAUUGCAUUUGGGCCCCUCACCUGUAUUUCCUCUCUUUCUGCUGACCUCAGAACACAGGAUGAGGUGAAUCCUGAUUUUGCCCAACCGCACAGAACACAGCAUGCCGAACCACCCAAUUAUAGGAAAUAACCGAAGCUCUGGGCAAAAAUAUGGAUCGAAAGGCCCCACUCAUGAGGGUGUUGAAAUCUGCUGAGAUUUAUUUUGAUGAAGCGCCAUUGAUCCACCAGGGGGCAGGUUGAAUACCAAGUGAAUUUUGUUUAUGUGGCUUGCGCCCGAUUUCGUCAGCAAGGGACACUAGGUGGAUGUGGGCAACUGUGCCCAGCUGAAUCAAGCCGCAUCGGGACACACGAAAGGCACACGCCUCAAAUAUCUGCCGCCGGGCUCAGUUCGCCUCGUGUGUCAUGAGCCACGGCCACGCACAAGGAGAAUGGCGGUGCACCUUCCCAUCCGGUUCCCAAAACCUGCAGCCAUCACCUGAGAGUAAUUCACAACCUUCGACACCCACAACAUGAUGAUGGUAAAAUGCCUUUUUUCACUGUAGUAUGCUUGUUUCUUAACCAUCUCCCCUGGGUGCCACUGUAUUUCAUAGGUUCUUAUUAAAAACAUUUUGAAAAACAUGUCACUAAGUUGGUUUUUUUUUUUUUUCCAUGCCACUAAGUUUUUGAGUGUUGUGUCCUAAUCUCAUUUUCCCCAUAAACCCUCUGGUUUUUACUCUGUGAUUUUGCAUAGUGCAGUGCUAUUUAGGAACCCAUAUGUCACAUUAUAGCAGAACUGACCAUAUUUGUUCCAGUCAUUUGGCAAAAUGUGAAAAUUUUAGUUCUCUCUCUCCCCUUUAAAUUAUGUGUUUCCUGGGUUCGUUAGAACCUCUCCUAGUUCUCAACUAGCUUAACAUAAAAUAACAUUCACCAUCACCCAUACAUUUGGUUUUAGAAAACCAUAGAUCUCUUCAUAUUGAAUAAUCUCAAUAAAUGUUUGUUGAAAUAAUUUGAAUUGGCUUAUUCA